rnacentral:rRNA from 1 species
CAGUAGCCGCGGUAAUACAGAGGGUGCGAGCGUUAAUCGGAUUUACUGGGCGUAAAGCGUGCGUAGGCGGCUAAUUGAGUCGGAUGUGAAAUCCCCGAGCUUAACUUGGGAAUUGCAUUCGAUACUGGUUAGCUAGAGUGUGGGAGAGGAUGGUAGAAUUCCAGGUGUAGCGGUGAAAUGCGUAGAGAUCUGGAGGAAUACCGAUGGCGAAGGCAGCCAUCUGGCCUAACACUGACGCUGAGGUACGAAAGCAUGGGGAGCAAACAGGAUUAGAUACCCGCGUAGUUCCUGUCUCUUAUAC